GAAUGCGAUUUUGUUAAUAAAAAAAAUACUUAUAACUUAUGCAAAACCCAAGAGAGGCAUUUAUAUUUAUUUCUUUUGCGUUCAUUUUCAAAUUCGCCGUGCAUAUAUUUUUGUGCAUGGCGCUUGAGAGGGCAUCACGUGACUAAAAACGACCAACCAACGACCUCGCUUCGGCCAUCUUGGCAUCUUCAUCUUGGCGACCUUGCCUUGCCGUGGAUUGUUUUUAGUUGUUUGUAUUAUUUGUGCUUUUUAAGAAUAUUUUUUUAAUUCGGAUACUUUUAUAAUAGCUUUAAUAGUAUUAUUAACAUAGUGCAUAAAAUGGUGUCCUGUUUUUAACGCAGUUGGAGUAGCAGAAACAAAUGUAGAUAAAAAAAUCUGCAGGAAUAACGUUUCAAUUAUGACAGAAGCUCAAAACAAAUGACUGAAUGAAAAGCCCUAUUAAAAGCUUUCCAGAAGAUCCUGCGAAGAAGACAUGAAGUAUAGAUCAGAUUUGUUAAUAGAGGAGUAUGUUCAAAACACUUUUUAGAAAAAGAUAUUGACAGAACUUCACUUUCAUCUGUUCGUUUGAGAGACUGUGCUGUUCCAAUAGCUUAUGUCACACAGAAUCAGCUGAGAGAAGUGGUCUACAAAAAACCAGAAAGGAAACGGAAUAUGUGGCUACGAAAAGCAAAAGAAAGGUUUACAAAGCAAAUGUGACACAUUUUUUUAUAAUAUUUAGGAAUGUCAGCAAAUUACAUUAAAAAAUGUAUGUAAAGAUUUUUUG